rnacentral:rRNA from 1 species
AUGUGCAUUCAUAUAGAAUUAAUGCAUUGGAUUCCAUCAUAACUCCGCAUUUAAGUGUGCUUGGGAUAGAUUAGUACUGGGAUGGAUGACCUCUCCGGAAGUCCUAGUGUUUUACAUG